rnacentral:rRNA from 1 species
AACGAACGCUGGCGGCAGGCUUAACACAUGCAAGUCGAGCGCCCCGCAAGGGGAGCGGCAGACGGGUGAGUAACGCGUGGGAAUCUACCCAUCUCUACGGAAUAACGCAUGGAAACGUGUGCUAAUACCGUAUACGUCCUUCGGGAGAAAGAUUUAUCGGAGAUGGAUGAGCCCGCGUUGGAUUAGCUAGUUGGUGGGGUAAAGGCCUACCAAGGCGACGAUCAUAGCUGGUCUGAGAGGAUGAUCAGCCACACUGGGACUGAGACACGGCCCAGACUCCUACGGGAGGCAGCAGUGGGGAAUAUUGGACAAUGGGCGCAAGCCUGAUCCAGCCAUGCCGCGUGAGUGAUGAAGGCCCUAGGGUUGUAAAGCUCUUUCACCGGUGAAGAUAAUGACGGUAACCGGAGAAGAAGCCCCGGCUAACUUCGUGUCAGCAGCCGCAGUAAUAC